rnacentral:rRNA from 1 species
GAUGAACGCUGGCGGCGCGCCUAACACAUGCAAGUCGAACGAUUAAAGCACCUUCGGGUGUGUAUAAAGUGGCGAACGGCUGAGUAACACGUGGGCAACCUGCCCCUCUCAUUGGGAUAGCCACGGGAAACCGUGGAUAAUACCGAAUACUUCGGGACUUCCGCAUGGAAGACUCGAGAAAGCUCCGGCGGAGAGGGAUGGGCCCGCGGCCUGUUAGCUUGUUGGUGGGGUAAUGGCCUACCAAGGCAAUGAUGGGUAGCUGGGUUGAGAGACCGACCAGCCAGAUUGGGACUGAGACUCGGCCCAGACUCCUACGGGAGGCAGCAGUGGGGAAUCUUGCACAAUGGGCGAAAGCCUGAUGCAGCGACGCCGCGUGCGGGAUGAAGGCCUUCGGGUUGUAAACCGCUUUCAGCAGGGACGAGGCGAAAGUGACGGUACCUGCAGAAGAAGCCCCGGCUAACUACGUG